CCCCAGACUCCUACGGGAGGCAGCAGUGGGGGAUAUUGCACAAUGGGGGGAACCCUGAUGCAGCGACGCCACGUGGGUGAAGGAGUAUUUCGGUAUGUAAAGCCCUAUCGGCAGGGAAGAAUUUAGACGGUACCUGACUAAGAAGCCCCGGCUAACUACGUGCCAGCAGCCGCGGUAAUACGUAGGGGGCAAGCGUUAUCCGGAUUCACUGGGUGUAAAGGGAGCGUAGACGGCCAGGCAAGCCUGGAGUGAAAGCCCGGGGCCCAACCCCGGGACUGCUCUGGGAACUGUCCGGCUGGAGUGCGGGAGGGGCAGGCGGAAUUCCUGGUGUAGCGGUGAAAUGCGUAGAUAUCAGGAGGAACACCGGCGGCGAAGGCGGCCUGCUGGACCGCGACUGACGUUGAGGCUCGAAAGCGUGGGGAGCGAACAGGAUUAGAUACCCGUGUAC
rnacentral:rRNA from 1 species